rnacentral:rRNA from 1 species
CUAUCCAUGGCCAGGUUGAAGGUGUGGUAACACACACUGGAGGACCGAACCGACUAGUGUUGCAAAAUUAGCGGAUGAGCUGUGGAUAGGGGUGAAAGGCUAAACAAAUCUGGAGAUAGCUGGUUCUCCCCGAAAACUAUUGAGGUAGUGCCUCGUGUAUGACUCCAGGGGGUAGAGCACUGUUAUGGCUAGGGGGACAUGGCGUCUUACCAAACCAUGGCAAACUCCGAAUACUUGGAAGUUUGAGCACGGGAGACAGAGCACCGGGUGCUAACGUCCGGACUCAAAAGGGAAACAACCCAGACCGCCGGCUAAGGUCCCUAAUAUUGACUAAGUGGAAAACGAAGUGGGAAGGCUAAGACAGUCAGGAAGUUGGCUUAGAAGCAGCCAUCCUUCAAAGAAAGCGUAAUAGCUCACUGAUCGAGUCUUCCUGCGCGGAAGAUGUAACGGGGCUAAGUCAAUAACCGAAGCCGCGGAUUCACGACUUGUCGUGAGUGGUAGGGGAGCGUUCUGUAAGCCUGCGAAGGCGGUUCGUAAGGACUGCUGGAGGUAUCAGAAGUGCGAAUGCUGACAUGAGUAACGUUAAAGCAGGUGAAAAGCCUGCUCGCCGUAAGCCCAAGGUUUCCUGCUCUACGUUCAUCGGAGCAGGGUGAGUCGGCCCCUAAGGCGAGGCUGAGAAGCGUAGCUGAUGGGAACAAGGUUAAUAUUCCUUGACCGCCGUUGAGUGCGAAGGGGGGACGGAGUGUUGAAGAUCAUCCGGGUGUUGGAUGUCCCGGUUUGUGAACGUAGGAGGCCGGCAGGCAAAUCCGCCGGCGUAUCUCCGAGGUGAAGCAUCGAGGUCCGUAUGGACCGAAGUGAUCGGAUGGGCUCCCAGGAAAAGCCUCUAAGCUCCAGCUCAACGGGACCGUACCGCAAACCGACACUGGUGGGCGAGCUGAAUAUGCUCAGGCGCUUGAGAGAACUCAGGAGAAGGAACUCGGCAAAUUGACACCGUAACUUCGGGAUAAGGUGUGCCUCGGUAGCGUGAAGGAAGAAACAUCCGGAGCGUGAAGAGGUCUCAGAGAAUCGGUGGCUGCGACUGUUUACUAAAAACACAGCACUCUGCAAAGACGAAAGUCGACGUAUAGGGUGUGAUGCCUGCCCGGUGCUGGAAGAUUAAUUGAUGGGGUGCAAGCUCCUGAUCGAAGUCCCAGUAAACGGCGGCCGUAACUAUAACGGUCCUAAGGUAGCGAAAUUCCUUGUCGGGCAAGUUCCGACCUGCACGAAUGGCAUAACGAUGGCCACACUGUCUCCUCCUGAGACUCAGUGAAGUUGAAGUGUUUGUGAUGAUGCAAUCUCCCCGCGGCUAGACGGAAAGACCCCAUGAACCUUUACUGUAGCUUUGCAUUGGACUUUGAACCGAUCUGUGUAGGAUAGGUGGGAGGCUGUGAAACCGGGACGCCAGUACCGGUGGAGCCGUCCUUGAAAUACCACCCUGAUUUGUUUGAGGUUCUAACCUAGGUCGGUAAUCCCGAUCGGGGACCGUGCAUGGUAGGCAGUUUGACUGGGGCGGUCUCCUCCUAAAGGGUAACGGAGGAGUGCGAAGGUACGCUAGGUACGGUCGGAAAUCGUGCUGAUAGUGCAAUGGCAAAAGCGUGCUUGACUGCGAGACCCACAAGUCGAGCAGAUACGAAAGUAGGUCAUAGUGAUCCGGUGGCUCUGUAUGGAAGGGCCAUCGCUCAACGGAUAAAAGGUACUCUGGGGAUAACAGGCUGAUACCGCCCAAGAGUUCAUAUCGACGGCGGUGUUUGGCACCUCGAUGUCGGCUCAUCUCAUCCUGGGGCUGUAGCCGGUCCCAAGGGUAUGGCUGUUCGCCAUUUAAAGAGGUACGUGAGCUGGGUUUAAAACGUCGUGAGACAGUUUUGUCCCUAUCUGCCGUGGGCGCUGGAAGAUUGACGGGGGCUGCUCCUAGUACGAGAGGACCGGAGUGGACUCACCUCUGGUGUACCGGUUGUCACGCCAGUGGCAUUGCCGGGUAGCUAUGUGGGGAAGAGAUAACCGCUGAAAGCAUCUAAGCGGGAAACUUGCCUGAAGAUAAGUCUUCCUGGAGGCUAGACCUCCCUAAAGAGUCGUUCGAGACCAGGACGUUGAUAGGUUGGGUGUGUAAGCGCUGUGAGGCGUUGAGCUAACCAAUACUAAUUGCUCGUGCAGCUUGAUCCU